rnacentral:rRNA from 1 species
AGUGAAUAGAUACCCUGGUAGUCCACGCGGUAAACGAUGAAUACUGGGUGUAGGCGGGGUUAGAGCCGUCUGUGCCGAAAGCCAAACGCGUUAAGUAUCCCGCCUGGGGAGUACGGCCGCAAGGCUAAGACUCAAAGGAAUUGACGGGGGUCCCGCACAAGCAGCGGAGCGUGUGGUUUAAAAUUCGAUGCAACACGAAGAACCUUACCUGGGCUUGACAUGGCCGUAGUAGUGAAGGGAAACCCGGAACGACCCUUCGGGGUAGCGGUCACAGGUGCUGCAUGGCUGUCGUCAGCUCGUGUCGUGAGAUGUUGGGUUAAGUCCCGCAACGAGCGCAACCCUUGUCGCCAGUUAUACGUGUCUGGCGAGACUGCCGGGUAUCAAGCUGGAGGAAGGUGGGGUAUGACGUCAAGUCAGCAUGGCCUUU